GACGAACGCUGGCGGCGCGCUUAACACAUGCAAGUCGAACGGAAAGGCCCUGCUUUUGUGGGGUGCUCGAGUGGCGAACGGGUGAGUAACACGUGAGUAACCUGCCCUUGACUUUGGGAUAACUUCAGGAAACUGGGGCUAAUACCGGAUAGGAGCUCCUGCUGCAUGGUGGGGGUUGGAAAGUUUCGGCGGUUGGGGAUGGACUCGCGGCUUAUCAACUUGUUGGUGGGGUAGUGGCUUACCAAGGCUUUGACGGGUAGCCGGCCUGAGAGGGUGACCGGCCACAUUGGGACUGAGAUACGGCCCAGACCCCUACGGGAGGCAGCAGUGGGGAAUAUUGCACAAUGGGCGGAAGCCUGAUGCAGCAACGCCGCGUGCGGGAUGACGGCCUUCGGGUUGUAAACCGCUUUCGCCUGUGACGAAGCGUGAGUGACGGUAAUGGGUAAAGAAGCACCGGCUAACUACGUGCCAGCAGCCGCGGUGAUACGUAGGGUGCGAGCGUUGUCCGGAUUUAUUGGGCGUAAAGGGCUCGUAGGUGGUUGAUCGCGUCGGAAGUGUAAUCUUGGGGCUUAACCCUGAGCGUGCUUUCGAUACGGGUUGACUUGAGGAAGGUAGGGGAGAAUGGAAUUCCUGGUGGAGCGGUGGAAUGCGCAGAUAUCAGGAGGAACACCAGUGGCGAAGGCGGUUCUCUGGGCCUUUCCUGACGCUGAGGAGCGAAAGCGUGGGGAGCGAACAGGCUUAGAUACCCUGGUAGUCCACGCUGUAAACGGUGGGUACUAGGUGUGGGGUCCAUUCCACGGGUUCCGUGCCGUAGCUAACGCUUUAAGUACCCCGCCUGGGGAGUACGGCCGCAAGGCUAAAACUCAAAGGAAUUGACGGGGCCCCGCACAAGCGGCGGAGCAUGCGGAUUAAUUCGAUGCAACGCGUAGAACCUUACCUGGGUUUGACAUGGAUCGGGAGUGCUCAGAGAUGGGUGUGCCUCUUUUGGGGUCGGUUCACAGGUGGUGCAUGCCUGUCGUCAGCUCGUGUCAUGAGAUGUUGGGUUAAGUCCCGCAACGAGCGCAACCCUUGUUCACUGUUGCCAGCACGUUAUGGUGGGGACUCAGUGGAGACCGCCGGGGUCAACUCGGAGGAAGGUGGGGAUGACGUCAAGUCAUCAUGCCCCUUAUGUCCAGGGCUUCACGCAUGCUACAAUGGCUGGUACAGAGAGUGGCGAGCCUGUGAGGGUGAGCGAAUCUCGGAAAGCCGGUCUCAGUUCGGAUUGGGGUCUGCAACUCGACCUCAUGAAGUCGGAGUCGCUAGUAAUCGCAGAUCAGCAACGCUGCGGUGAAUACGUUCCCGGG
rnacentral:rRNA from 1 species